ensembl:lncRNA
UGAAAGGAUGCGUGGCCAGGGACGUUCCCUGUGCUCCAGACCAUGUUAUGAACCCACGGGCUCUCCAGGCUUGCUGAAGCAUUUCAGAACACAGUGGCCCUGGCCACAGGCUUUGGUACCCAUGCAAAUUGCCCCUUAUUUCUGGCUGUCCUAUGCUCAGCAAGUGCUCUUGGGGAGCAGCCAGCCCAUUGCUUUCAACCAAAAAUAACACUUGGGACCGGAGACAGGUAUGCUUGAAUGUCCCUGCCCAUCUGGGCUGCCCCAGUGUCAUGUAACUUAUGUUUGUGCUGUCCUGUCCCACACACCAUGUGGGUGCCUUGGUGAAGCAGGCAGGAUGGGGCUCUCGCUACCUGGGUCGUGCUUGGGUUUGGUUUUAAAGCCAGCAGCCUGGAGCUGUGGAAAGAGUCAUGAAUCCGGGUUACCAAACCAUCUGCUGGCUGCAUUUUAAAAAGCAAUUAAAGCAAAACUGUUUCCAGGCCUUCUGUUUGCAAGAUGUAGUUUAAAGAGAGCUAGCCAAGCCAGGAUUUGCCUGAUCCUGCCACAGCUCCAAGUAUGAGUUAAUUUGAUCUAAUCCCCGUGCUGUGAGGUGAGGAAAUCCCCACUGAGGAAGUGUGCAGGUAAGCAGGGCUGUUGGCACAGGGGUUUCUGUAACAAUGAAAUCCACAAGACUGGCAUUUGGAUUAUUAUUUUUAUUGCUUCUAAUCAGAAAUUGUUACACAGGGCUUAAAGAAACAAAUAAUAGGAUGCAAGAACCCUUCUGCAAGGUGGAGGAUGAUGAGUGUUGCUUGAAGGUAAUGGCAUCGAGAUGCCCUUGCAAAGAUGCUCCUGUGCUUGGCUUUGGAGACUUGCAGGAGGCAACCAUGGAACCUGGACCAUGCAUCCAAUAAGGAGGAGGGGAUGCUCAAUGCUCCUGUGAUCUCAAGCCUCUUGGCCAUGCCUCCUGUGGGACACAGAAGCUGUUUCCCUAUGGGAACAGUUUGCCCUGGUGCUUGUUGGCAAUUGUGCUGAACCUCUUGUGACUGCACCUUUGGUGCUUUGGGUGUAAGGCAGAGACAAGUGAGGUCUGAUGUUGUGGAGCUCACGCUUGGACCAAAGCAUCUCCUUUUUCUAGCAGGAGAAGGUGGCGAGCUUCCGUGCUAGGUCUUGAUGGAGGCUGGGGUGGCGUGAUGGUGGCUUGUGGUGUGGGGUCGAGUGUAAGGACCAUGAGGUUUGAGCAUCGCUAAUGGGCACGACCAGCUGAACUUAGCGUGAGAAGGGGAGGAUAACCCCAAUAAGCUCACAACAGGGGGGUCAUUCCUGGGGUGUGGGGAGAGAUGCUUCUUGGUUUAGAAGAAAAGAAGAAAAAAGCCCCGAGAACAGCACUGAGCUGAGACAGCCACUUAUGCAAGAGCUGGCAGUGGGGCUGGCCGCACCGAAAGGCAGCGGGUGCCAGCAGGGCGCGAGUGGCUCUGCAUCCUCCUGUUUGCUCAGCAGCUUUCGUGUGGCGGGGGAGCUGGGUUGAGGGCACGAGAUUCCUGCACACUGAACUCCUCUGUUCCUCUCAGCAGGGUAAACAGGACAAAAAACAAAGCCCCAAGCCAGCGCCCGCCUCCAAGGUAGCCUCCUGCCAGCCACCCUGGGGUGCGCGGAGGUGAUGGGGUCACCUUCAGCCUCUCCAGGAUGAUUUCUGGAUGCUAUUUCCCUGGGCAAAAUCAGGCUUUAACUGCAAGCAAGCAAACCAAUGAGCAUACAGGUGAGAUUGUGCAAUGUCCGCGCCAUCGCCCUUGCGGGGCAUGCAGGCAAUGGCUGGGAUUUUCCUGCAUCUACCAAGUGAGUGGUGCUGGCACUGGUUAAUACUGAGGGGCUGGGGAAGUAAUCCUUCGGGGAGUGCUGCAUGAUCUCCGAUGGUUUUAGAGAGAGAAUUCUGUGAGCUGGGAGGUAGGAGCGACAGCAGUGAUACAAAGCUCGUUGGGAUAGAACACGAGGUCUUUGAGCUAGAGGAGCAAUAACAUACAAUAAAGUAGGACUUUGAUGUCUGGAGGUGGCAGAGAAGAGUCACCACCUGAAUGCUGGCAUGCAAAAGGCAGAUGCACAUUUAGAAUAUCAGGUUGGAAAAGGCCACUAAAAUCAAGUCCGACUGCCAACCCAUCACCACCAUGCCCAUUAACUAUGGCCUUCCGUGCCACAUCUAUGUAUUUCUUGGGGAUUCUCGUGGUGGUGUCUCUCCGUUGACAUUAAAACCUCCAGCUCAGGACCCACCAAGAUGUCUGCUGGAACAGAGGGUGCAGAUCUGACCGUCCUUAUUCCAGAAAAUGUCAGCUGGGGGCGAGCACAUUGCAAAUGAAGGUGCAGGAGGCAUGAGGACAGGAGGUGAUUGUCCCUCAGCUUUCCAGCUUGGCAGCGGCAGGCGCUGAGCCCAGUUUCCACCCCUGCCAGGCAGAAGAAAAUGUUCUUCUCCUAUUUGCCUCCUAAUGAUGAUGGUGACGGUGCUCCUCUUGCAUUGUGUUUGUCCUUAAUGCUGAAAGACGGUUCUUGUGCUUGGUGCUAGUGUUCCCAGCCCUUGGCUUGGGCAGGGUAUGCCAGCCAACUGGACAACCAUUCGUUC